UACGGAGGGUGCGAGCGUUGUCCGGAAACACUGGGCGUAAAGGGCGCGUAGGCGGCUCAUGAAGGCUGUGGUGAAAGUCCGGGGCUCAACCUCGGAUCGGCCGUGGCGACUCGUGGGCUGGAGCACUGUAGAGGCGGGUGGAAUUCCGGGUGUAGCGGUGGAAUGCGUAGAGAUCCGGAAGAACACCAGUGGCGAAAGCAGCUCUCUGGGACGGUACUGACGCUGAGACGCGAAAGCGUGGGGAGCGAACAGG
rnacentral:rRNA from 1 species